AGGACGAACGCUGGCGGCGUGCUUAACACAUGCAAGUCGAACGGUGAUGGUGGGAGCUUGCUCCUACCGGAUCAGUGGCGAACGGGUGAGUAACACGUGAGUAACCUGCCCCAGACUCUGGAAUAACCCCGGGAAACCGGUGCUAAUACCGGAUACGAGACGAAGCUGCAUGGCUAUCGUCUGGAAAGUUUUUCGGUCUGGGAUGGACUCGCGGCCUAUCAGCUUGUUGGUGAGGUAAUGGCUCACCAAGGCGACGACGGGUAGCCGGCCUGAGAGGGCGACCGGCCACGACUGGGACUGAGACACGGCCCAGACUCCUACGGGAGGCAGCAGUGGGGAAUAGUUGCACAAUGGGCAAAGCCUGAUGCAGCGACGCCGCGUGAGGGAUGACGGCCUUCGGUUGUAAACCUCUUUCAGCGAGGAAGAAGCGAAGUGACGUACUGCAGAAGAAGCACCGGCUAACACGUGCCAGCAGCCGC
rnacentral:rRNA from 1 species